CCUACGGGGUGCAGCAGUGAGGAUUAUUGGUCAAUGGGCGCGAGCCUGAACCAGCCAAGUCGCGUGAGGGAGGACGGCCCUACGGGUUGUAAACCUCUUUUGCCGGGGAGCAACGGGCGCCACGUGUGGCGCCACUGAGAGUACCCGGAGAAAAAGCAUCGGCUAACUCCGUGCCAGCAGCCGCGGUAAUACGGAGGAUGCGAGCGUUAUCCGGAUUUAUUGGGUUUAAAGGGUGCGUAGGCGGAUCGUUAAGUCAGUGGUCAAAUUGAGGGGCUCAACCCCUUCCCGCCAUUGAAACUGGCGUUCUUGAGUGGAGGAGAAGUAGGCGGAAUGCGUGGUGUAGCGGUGAAAUGCAUAGAUAUCACGCAGAACCCCGAUUGCGAAGGCAGCAUGCCGGCUUCCGACUGACGCUGAAGCACGAAAGCGUGGGGAUCGAACAGGAUUAGAUACCCGUGUAGUC
rnacentral:rRNA from 1 species